UACGUAGGGUGCGAGCGUUGCCCGGAUUUAUUGGGCGUAAAGGGCGCGUAGGCGGUCGCGCACGUCCGUUGUGAAAUCGCUCGGCUCAACUGGGCGGGGUCAGCGGAUACGGCGUGGCUGGAGCAAGCUAGGGGGCAAUGGAAUUCCCGGUGUAGUGGUGGAAUGCGUAGAUACCGGGAGGAACACCAGUGGCGAAGGCGGUUGCCUGGAGCUUUGCUGACGCUGAUGCGCGAAAGCGUGGGGAGCGAUCCGG
rnacentral:rRNA from 1 species